rnacentral:rRNA from 1 species
UAGGGAAUCUUCCACAAUGGACGCAAGUCUGAUGGAGCAACGCCGCGUGAGUGAAGAAGGUUUUCGGAUCGUAAAGCUCUGUUGUUGGUGAAGAAGGAUAGAGGCAGUAACUGGUCUUUAUUUGACGGUAAUCAACCAGAAAGUCACGGCUAACUACGUGCCAGCAGCCGCGGUAAUACGUAGGUGGCAAGCGUUGUCCGGAUUUAUUGGGCGUAAAGCGAGCGCAGGCGGAAUGAUAAGUCUGAUGUGAAAGCCCACGGCUCAACCGUGGAACUGCAUCGGAAACUGUCAUUCUUGAGUGCAGAAGAGGAGAGUGGAAUUCCAUGUGUAGCGGUGGAAUGCGUAGAUACAUGGAAGAACACCAGUGGCGAAGGCGGCUCUCUGGUCUGCAACUGACGCUGAGGCUCGAAAGCAUGGGUAGCGAACAGG